GAUCAGUCUUCCGGGAAAUCUGACAGCUCAACUGUUAGGCUUCCGGGAGAUACUGUCAGGCUUGGGACCGGGAGAGGUAAGAGGUACUACAGGGGUAGGAGUGAAAUCUUGUAAUCCCUGUGGGACCACCAGUGGCGAAGGCGUCUUACCAGAACGGGUCCGACGGUGAGGGACGAAAGCUGGGGGCACGAACCGGAUUAGAUACCCGGGUAGUCCCAGCCGUAAACGAUGCUCGCUAGGUGUCUGGGAUGGUGCGACCGUUUCAGGUGCCGCAGGGAAGCCGUGAAGCGAGCCACCUGGGAAGUACGGCCGCAAGGCUGAAACUUAA
rnacentral:rRNA from 1 species